AGCGUAUUUUGCGAUGGCGGAGCUCGACCGCCGGUCGAAGUGAUGGUCAAGUUCAUCGACGACCACCGAGGUGAACACGGGGUCGAGCCGAUCUGCGAUGUGCUGCCGAUCGCCCCG
rfam:Jannaschia seosinensis strain CECT 7799 genome assembly, contig: 0191